rnacentral:rRNA from 1 species
GACAGAGGGGGCAAGCGUUGCUCGGAAUUACUGGGCGUAAAGGGCGCGUAGGCGGAAUGGCAAGUCGGUCGUGAAAUCCUUCGGCUCAACCGAAGAACGUCGAUCGAAACUGCCGUUCUUGAGGAUUGCAGAGGAGACUGGAAUUCCCGGUGUAGCGGUGAAAUGCGUAGAUAUCGAGAGGAACACCUGCGGCGAAGGCGGGUUGCUGGGCCGACACUGACGCUGAAGCGCGAAAGCCAGGGGAGCGAACGGG